GGCCCUGUGGUCCUGGCCUGGCCUCCUUUGGGACAGAGAUCCUAUGAUUGAGUCUCCCAAAUGCCCUGCCAAUCUGCUGCUCAAGCUCCUUGCUUGCCCUUCUGUAUUUCCUCUGAAGUAUAUUUUGUUGCCAUUUUCCGGUCAAAUAUUUUAAAACUUAGAUAUUUGGUUUUUAGUGGUUCCUUUGUGAAUUCAGUUCUUCCUCUAAAGGUACUCUCUUUUAUGUUAUGUGGAAUUUGUUGCUGGAUUGCCCUGUCACCACCACCAAAGGCUCAGAUAUUCUUUCUUCUCCAAUUUAACUCCAGUUUGUCAGCUGCUGAGUGGUGUAAAAUUCUUUUGCCGAGGAACAAGACCAUCCCAGUCAACUCCAUCCCACAGCCUGGCCAGUCAGCAGAGCGGACACCAUCUUAGGCCUCUUAUUUUUUCUUUUGCCCAAGUGUCUGAAAGGAGCAUCCUCUUUAAUUUAAGCCUACAUGUGGAGUAAUGACGAAGAAGCAGCAUAACAUUUUUGGAAAGCAAUGUGGAAAAAUAUAUCUCAAGCCAGAAAGAUGUUUGUACCAUUUUAUCCAGUAAUCCCACACUUGGAAUUUAUCCUAGAGAAAUAGAUCAACAGAAGAAAAAGCAGCAGCAGUGUAUGAAGCUCCGUGCUAUGAGACAGUGGAGACAAACUGGAUGCCAAACACAAUGAACAUCCUUGCCUGUGACUCCCGAACAACAUAAACAGCUGUUUCUUGAAGACAGACAAGGAAGAGUAAAAUGGUUGGGAGAGAGAGAGUCUAUACAUUAAUGUCCAGCACCGAGUGAGCCCUUGUGAAGUGUGGACCUUGGAGAGCAUGUCAAGCAGUCUCAUUCAUUUUAACAAAUGCACCGUACUGGUGGGGGAUGAGGAGAAAGGACCAGGUGGGGGCACAAGCCUAUUGGGAAACCUGACUUCCCUCCUUUACUCUUCUCCUCCCUGUGAUGUCUGGAGCCGUACGCACAGCUAUCCCUACCAUGGUUCUUGACCCCUCCCUCCAGCCACCUAUGUUGCCAGUGAGAUGCCCUCUGGCCCUUCCCAGCCUGCUGCCCACUGCUCGGCACCCAGGACCCUCUUGGCUGCCUGUCAGGUGCCAGCCUCAUUUCCUAUGCAGCCACUUGCAGGAGGGCCAGGGCCAUCUCCCGGACAGUUCCACCUGAGU
ensembl:lncRNA